rnacentral:rRNA from 1 species
GAACGAACGCUGGCGGCGCGCCUAACACAUGCAAGUCGAACGAGAAGGCGUAGCAAUACGCUUGUAAAGUGGCGAACGGGUGAGGAAUACGUGGGUAACCUACCCUCGAGUGGGGAAUAACCAACCGAAAGGUUGGCUAAUGCCGCGUACGCUUCCAUCUCUUCGGAGGUGGAAGGAAAGCUGCACCGUGGGUACAGCGCUCAAGGAUGGGCUCACGUCCUAUCAGCUUGUUGGUAGGGAACGGCCUACCAAGGCAACGACGGGUAGCUGGUCUGAGAGGACGAUCAGCCACACUGGCACUGCGACACGGGCCAGACUCCUACGGGAGGCAGCAGUGAGGAA